rnacentral:rRNA from 1 species
UACGUAGGGUGCAAGCGUUGUCCGGAAUUAUUGGGCGUAAAGAGCUCGUAGGCGGCUUGUCGCGUCGGCUGUGAAAACCUGGGGCUCAACCCCGGGCCUGCAGCCGAUACGGGCAAGCUAGAAUUCGGUAGGGGAGACUGGAAUUCCUGGUGUAGCGGUGAAAUGCGCAGAUAUCAGGAGGAACACCGGUGGCGAAGGCGGCAUCCUGGACCGAUAUUGACGCUGAUGCGCGAAAGCCAGGGGAGCAAACGGG